UACGGAGGGGGCUAGCGUUGUUCGGAAUUACUGGGCGUAAAGCGCGUGUAGGCGGCUUUGCAAGUCGGGUGUGAAAGCCCUCAGCUUAACUGAGGAAGUGCGCCCGAAACUGCAGAGCUUGAGUACCGGAGAGGAUGGUGGAAUUCCCCAAGUAGAGGUGAAAUUCGUAGAUAUGGGGAGGAACACCGGUGGCGAAGGCGACCAUCUGGACGGAUACUGACGCUGAGGCGCGACAGCGUGGGGAGCAAACAGG
rnacentral:rRNA from 1 species